ACUCCCCGGCGGCAUCGUGUGCGAUCCCUGCCACACUUCCAGACGGUGACCAGCGCUGCCCCACCCGCAGACGAGGGACCGAGGCUCAGGAGAGCACACGGCCUGCCCAGAGCCCAGAGCAGCACACACUGGCCGUGGUCGCCUGCCAUCUGCGCCCGGGGCCUGGCGCUCCCCACUGCUCUGCUCUGCCUCCUAGAAAGGUCCCCGGCCAGGCCAGCUACAAUGACACGGUGACACGGUGACACAUGAGCCGCCCAUGAGAGUACAGAGCCCUGUGCAGUGUCGGGAGCCAGAGGGCUCACCCCCCGGGAGCGAGGAAUGUUCCUCAGAUCGUCUGGACCCUUGGCACGGGGAGGGUGCAGAGGAAGGUGGCAGGUGGCACCGUGCAGGUGCUGGAUGCUGGUGGCAGAAACGCCCCUAGGACGCCAGCCUGGAAGGGGCCGAUUGUGCCGCGAAUCUUCCAGGCCACGCUCAACUCAGCAGCCAGAGGGAUCAGAUCGUCCAAAGUGUCAGCUGAUGUGUGUGCCCGGCCUCAGCCCUUCCCGGCCCUGCUCCUGCCACACUGCUGACCACUGCACUCGAAGCCAUCCCAGCUCCCUUUCAGGAGGGCUGGGGCGUCAGGGGAAAGGGACAGAGCCCCCGGGGAGCUUGGGCCCAACAGCCCUUACUUCCCAGGCGUAAGUCGCGCCCUGUAAUGGCCAGGGUUCUCCAGAGAAGCAGGACCAGUGGGAUGUGUAUAUUUAUACAGACAGAUUUAUUUUGAGGAGUUGGCUCAUGUGCGUCAACUUGGAGUCUGGCAAGUCCUAAAUCUGCAGGACAGGCCAACAGGCAGGAGAGUCAGGAAGAGCCAGUGUUUCAGUUCAAGUUCAAAGGCCAUCCACGGGCGGAAUUCCCUCUUGCUCAGAGGAAGUCAGUUUUUUUGUUCUAUUUGGGCCUUCAACUGAUUGGACGAGGCCCACCCACACCAUGGAGAGCAAUUUGCGUCACUCGAAGUCUACUGAUACAAAUGUUCAUUUCGUCUAAAGAUAGCCUCACAGCAACACGCACAACGAUGUUUGACGAGAUAUCUGGGCUCAAUGAACCAGCCAAGCAGACACACAACUGACCAUCCCACUCACGGAUGGGUAUCAUGUGACGUGUAGCUCGGAGACUUCCCACUACGGUGCUUGGGACACGGUCCACGAUCCGUAACAGGAUUCCAAAGCCACGGAGGGUCCCUCCGGUCCCCCGGGUCACUGGUUGCCAGACACACCGACCUUGUUUCCGUGCCCAGCCUUUGCACAAGUAGGAUUCCCACGGGAGACGCUGCACCCCAGCCCUUCUGCUGGUCCCAUGGAAACUUUCCCUGCAUCCUCAACGUCUGAGCACGACCUAGAGCUCCCUGUGAGCCGCGCCAUGUCUCAGACAGCGCAAGGGGCUCAGGACCCUGAGACUCAGUCCUGCUGCCCGCCCCACAUGCUGUCGCUCCCGGUUCAGUCUUCCAACUUCACAGAGCUCCUGCUGUCCUAGACGACGAGGCUGACUCAGUUUCCCCCUUGUAAGCCAGUGUCUUGCACACGGUUCCUUCUUGUAGCUGGCCCUUCCUUCUGGGGUAUUUUUUCCUCCUGUAGUACAUUCUUUAAAAGUUCCUGCUAGGGGGAUUCCUAGGUGGCUCAGUGGUUUAGCGCCUGCCAUGGGCCCAGGGCAUGAUCCUGGAGACAUGGUAUCGAGUCCUGCAUGGAGCCUGCUUCCCCCCUAGCCCUUGUCUCUGCCCCUCUCUCUCUCUCCCUCUGUGUCUCUUAUGAAUAAAUAAAUAAAAUCUUUAAAAAAUAAUAAAAAAAUAAAAGUUCUUGCUAGUGGCAAACUCUCUCAACAUCUCCAAAAUUUUAUCUGAAAAAAAUUUGUCUGGGCUGUUAACUAUCUGAAAAUUUUAUUUUGCACUUUUUUUUUUUUUUUUUUUUUGGAAAACAGUGUGAAAAGUUCUCAAUGGACCAUUACUGUCCUCUGAGCACCUUAUGGGGACUCACCUCACUGUCUUGGUUUCCACUGCUGCUCAAGUCCUGCUGCCUGCCUAGCUGCUGUUUCUUUUUGUUUUUUUAAGGAUUGUAUAUAUUUAUUCCUGAGAGACACAGAGAGAGAGAGGCAGGGACACAAGAGGAGGGAAAAGCAGGCUCCAUGCAGGGAGCCCGAUGCUCUUUCACCAGUUCUUUUCCUCUUUUUAAGAGAGAGAGAGAGAGAGAGAGAGAUACAUGAGCUGGAGGGGCAGAGAGGGCAGGAGAGACACUCAAGCAGGCUCCCCCGCUGAGUGUGCAGCCCGACGGGGGCCCAUCCGGAGCAGAAAUCCAGAGUCAGAUGCUUGACCCCUGAGCCACCAGGCCCCCUGUCACCGGCUCUGAGGCAGAGGGUCUUCAAACACUGGCUCUCUCCUCUGUGCUGCCUGCCGUGUGCCCCCUCUCCUUCCGUGUCCCCCUCCGCGCCCCUCGCACCGUGUUCUUGAUCAUUUCUGUGGACUCACAUUCCAGUUCGCAAGCUCCUUCCUCGCUUGCGCCUAUGCCGCCUCCUGCAUUUGCUGUUUGUUGUUUUUUACACGACAGCUUUACUGAAACGUAACUCGCCUGCUGUAAAAUUCACCCUUUUAAGGUUUCUAAUUCAGGGGGUUUUAGUACAUCCACGUGUUGCAUGACUUCCAUCACUUGAAAAGCAAUCCCUUGACCAUUAGCCGGGAGCCCCGGUUCCUUCCUCCCGCCAGUGGAGGCAACCGCAUGUCUACUUUCUCUCUUUUUUGGAUUUUUCCAUUCUGGGCGUCUCAUACAAAUGAAGCCACACCAUGUAUGUUUUUCAAAAGGAUUUUAUUUUCAUUUAGCAUUAAUCAAAGUUUCUGAUGACCUUUUAAUUUCAGUGAAAAGUUUCUCGUUUCCAGAGGCUCUCCGUUUUUCAGCUAAGCACUGUCAGUUUUGAUAUUCCUUGUUCUUUCCCUUAAUAUAUCCUAAACCCACAAGGCAGGUUAAUUUUAUAUUCUAUAUUUAACACUUUCAGAUUAGAAAAUUUGUGGAGACUUAAACCUGUUCCUCCUCAUUGCUUCUGUGGUGUCUUUGGAGGCCUCUUUCUUUGGAUGUUUGCUGAUUUUGACUUUGAACUCAUAUUGGAAUGGAACCCUCGGGAACCACAGGCUCCCAGGUGGGUUGCCUGUCUGUGUCCUUUGCCUCUGCUCCCCCGGAGCCCCGGCGGGGCACGAGGCGCACAGGUUCUGAGGCCAAGCUGCUCCAGUUCCAACCUGGGCUGUGUCACCUGCUCAGUGUGUGACCUUGGGCAGGGAGCUCAAGCUCUGUGCUUUGGUCUCCUCCUUAUAAGGUGGGGAUGUCAAUAAUAGUUCGCAGCAGGGGGGGUGGUGAGGCUGUGAGGACACAGUACCUGCGUCUGGAACAGAAGACACACUAGGUGCUCCGCCAACAGUACGACGACACCUCACAAGGGCACAUCUGUGAUAAUCGUUUGUGUAAAGCAAGACUGGGGAAGGGGGCAGAAGCCUCCCCACUGCGCCGGCCCAGGCCCAGGGCAGCGGCGGGCGGGCUCACGGGGCUCCUCCAUGAGUGCUUGCCGGCCGGAGGAAGGCAGGGCAGAAAGGAACGACCCCAACCCUUGCACAGCAGCCGGGGC
rnacentral:lncRNA from 1 species